GGAGAACUAAUUUCUACCAAAAAAUAACUUAGAUCAGAGAUUGAGGAUACAGAAUCCAAACUAACGAUCUGUUGCAACGAAGUGUAAAGAGAUCGAAAACUCAGAAGUACCUAUCGAGCUAAUAUGACAACUUCAAACGCUCACUACCGAAGGGACGAAGAAAGACGUCAUUGAGAUAAAUAACACCAUUAAAAACCUAGAAGAUUUAUAUAAUGAUUUGUAUACAAUACCAUGCAAUGUGGCACUGGAUAAUGUUCAACAGUUUUUACGCCGGGACUACAUUGAAAUUACAGGUAUACCAGCUCGGACAUUGGACAACCCAAAACAAUUAGCAAUCCAAGUGGGCGAAAUAAUCGGUAUUAAGCUAACUGCAUGAGGAGCAUAUCUCAAAAGCCCACCGCCUAAUUCCGACAAAGAAAGUAAAGAAUCGUAUCAUAGGCUAUGUUUAUACGCUACGACUAAUCGUGUACGAUUCGUAUUCUGGCGUAUUAAAAUAAGUGCUGGCGCCAUAAUUCAUUGCCUUUUCGUUAAAAAGAAAUUUCAAAUGUAGCCAGCUUACGCGUGUUUACUCAAUGACAUACGCCAGAAAACGAAUCGUACACGACUAAUCGCAGCGUCUAAACGUAGCUAUAGUGAAGUUUGUUCAUAAAGAUAUCACUCAUGAAAAAGGUGUUUAAUUAAACAGUCGGCGAAGCAAAAAUGAUUCGGGAAAAGUCCAAAGAUGUGCCGCCAGUUGGCACCGAAGAUAGUAAAUCCAUCCAUGUGUCCAACAAUAUCUUCAUUAAUGAGUCACUGAUACUGAACAGGAGGAAAAAAUGAACAGGAAAAAAUUGUCAGGGUGAGUAUAGGCUUAGAUGACUUUAAACGUACUGCAUGUAUACUGAGUGGAGUCACAUUUGGACGGUAAAUGGGAAGAUCUUACUGAGACAGUCAGAUAGUUCUAAGGUUUUUGAAUUCGCAACAAAUGAUCAGUUCGACAAGUUUUUGCAAGAUUCUUGAACUGAGAAUCGAAACAGCUAUAUAAUUACAUAAGCUUAAUAAUUACAUAUUUAUAAGACGAUAAUGACUCUCAGUGGGAAUUAUU